GUAAUUCUUCUAUCAAGGGAAUAAAAUUAUUGAUAAUUGUAUAGUCCCAAAAUAGAUUUAAAUUCUCUCCUAUUUUAACUGUACCAUAAUUAUUGUAAAUCAAUGAAGAAAAGAAUAUAAUCCUUCAUGGUAUCAGAGCAUGGUACUAAAUCCAGCAGCCUCUGUUUUGUUCUAGCCGUGCUUUCUUGAGCAUUUAUUCAAACACAUGGAAGCCACUAAUGAUUUUGAGAGUCCCAGCCACCUACCACCCGAAACCAACACUCUCUUCCUAGAAUUUACAACAAAGAUGACUGAAGCUUUGAACAAAGCAUAGACACCAACCUCAACUACUAAAUCUUCACCUCAAAUCGGCAUCAAAUUGGACGGUUCCAACUACGCCCUAUGGUCUUAGGUUAUAGAGAUGAAUAUUGCUGGAAAAGAUAAACUUGGCUACCUGAAUGGAGAUAUGCCUACUCCACCACUGACCGAUCCAACCUUUCGUAGGUGGCGCAUGGAAAACGCCAUUGUCAAAGGCUGGAUCUUAAACUCAUUGGACCACUCUCUCAUUGGCAACUUCAUCCGGUUCUCCACUGCACAUGAAGUUUGAGAUGCAAUUGCAACUACCUUUUUUGAUGGGAAUGACACUUCACAAGUAUAUGAACUUCGGCGAAGAGUGGCACGGUUGAGACAAACAGGCAGCUCCAUUGAGAAAUACUACACGGCUUUACAACGGUUGUGGCGUGAAAUCAAUUAUCGCUGUCCCAAUCCAAUGGUUUGCUCCAAAGACAUCCACAAUUACAAUAAAUUGGUGCAAGAGGAUCGAGUUUAUACCUUUUUGGAUGGCCUUGAUGAUAGGCUCGAUAACAUCAGGGCAAGUAUUUUACAGAUGAAACCAUUUCCCUCACUUGAGCAAGCUUAUGCACAUGUCCGUUGGGAGGCCCUUUGAUAAGCAGUGAUGACCACAGAUGCACAUGUCCGUUGGGAGGCCCUUUGAUAAGCAGUGAUGACCACAGAUGCCGACAAUCCUCUAGGAGCAGUUCUAGUUUCAAAAGGAAUGAAACUUGGACGUUCAUCUCUGGGCUCUAGAAAGCAAGUUGAGUUUAAUAAAAUCAAGGGAAUGGGGUUGAAUGAAAAGUGCUCCUAUUGUGGAAAUUCUAAACACGCACGUGAAAACUGCUUUAAGCUCAAUGGAUACCCGGAAUGGUGGCACGAACUACAAAAAAAAGGAAUGGGGAUGGCACUGAUAAACGAACAGGCAAAGCAGCAUUGGCAACGGCAGAGCCACAAUUAUCCCUAAUCUCUCAUAUUGACCCCUCACAAGAUGAGAACACUACCUCGAGUCUAGGUAACCUUUGUUCAGUUCUUAUUACGCAUCCUAGUGACAAGAAUAAUGAUGGACGGUUGCUUGACUUUGGGGCCACCGAUCAUACGACAUAAGAUGCUAAUGACUUUAUUUGGUCAGCCCUUCCUCGACGCAUUAGUGUCGCAAAUGCUAAUGGGGAUAUUUCUACGGUCAGAGGGACUGGCUCUGUAUCCGUGUCUUCUUCUCUACACUUAUCUAAUACUUUACUAGUGCCUUCGCUUUCGCAUAAAUUAUUAUCUGUAAAUCAAGUAACUAUGGAGUUAAAUUGUGAAGUACUGAUCUAUCCUACCUUGUCUUCUUCAGGAUAUUCUCAUUGAUUAGUGUAAUUCACUCAUUAAACUAACGCCUCUAAAUCAUGGGUUUUAGCUUGUUCUUAAGCACUUUUGAAUGUUUUGAUGUGUGUGUUCAUGUUGUUUUGCAGCUAAAUCAACAUUCGAGAAAACAUCACAAUUGGGAGCUUGUGAUGAAUCUAAAAUGGUGGUCAUAAAAUGGGGGCAUGAGUUAGAGAUAAGAAAAGAGGAUUGCAAUGGGAAAGCAGCUUAGAAGAUGAGCAUUCAAGUAAGGAGUAGUCUGUUAGGCGCCACGGUGCCCAGAGUAAAAAG
rnacentral:lncRNA from 1 species